rnacentral:rRNA from 1 species
GAUGAACGCUAGCGGCAGGCUUAAUACAUGCAAGUCGUGGGGCAGCAUGACUGUAGCAAUACAGUUGAUGGCGACCGGCAAACGGGUGCGGAACACGUACACAACCUUCCUUUAAGUGGGGAAUAGCCCAGGGGAAACUUGGAUUAAUACCCCGUAAUAUAUAGAAGUGGCAUCACUUUUAUAUUAUAGCAGCAAUGCGCUUGAAGAUGGGUGUGCGGCUGAUAGGUAGUUGGCGGGGUAACGGCCCACCAAGUCGACGAUCAGUAACUGGUGUGAGAGCACGACCAGUCACACGGGCACUGAGACACGGGCCCGACUCCUACGGGAGGCAGCAGUAAGGAAUAUUGGUCAAUGGACGCAAGUCUGAACCAGCCAUGCCGCGUGGAGGAU